rnacentral:tRNA from 1 species
UGCAAAAUAAACUAAAGGAAAGUUAUUAGGCUCAUAACCUAAAUAUAAGAGUUCGAUUCUCUUUUUUGCAU